GCCCUCGUAGUUUAAUGGACAAAAUGCUAGAUUGCGGAUCUGGAGACUGCAGGUUCGAUUCCUGCCGAGGGCA
rnacentral:tRNA from 1 species